rnacentral:rRNA from 1 species
AUUGAACGCUGGCGGAAUGCUUUACACAUGCAAGUCGAACGGCAGCACGGGAGCUUGCUCCUGGUGGCGAGUGGCGAACGGGUGAGUAAUGCGUCGGAACGUACCGAGUAAUGGGGGAUAACGCACCGAAAGGUGUGCUAAUACCGCAUACGCCCUGAGGGGGAAAGCAGGGGAUCGCAAGACCUUGCGUUAUUCGAGCGGCCGACGUCUGAUUAGCUAGUUGGUGGGUAAAGCCUACCAAGGCGACGAUCAGUAGCGGGUCUGAGAGGAUGAUCCGCCACACUGGAACUGAGACACGGUCCAGACUCCUACGGGAGGCAGCAGUGGGGAAUUUUUGGACAAUGGGGGAAACCCUGAUCCAGCCAUUCCGCGUGAGUGGAGAAGGGCCUUCGGGUUGUAAAGCUCUUUUCAGCUGGAACGAAACGGUACGCUCUAACAUAGCGUGCUAAUGACGGUACCAG